UUUUACUCGCGUGACCGUCAGUAACCGACUUUGAGUUUGUUGUGGUCGGCGGUCAUGGAGGCAGAAAAGCAGCGACAGAAAGAUAUAGCGAAUGCUUUGCCCAAACAUUCCUACUGGUUUGAUUUUUGGCUCUUUCUGCUUUUUGAUGUCGUUCUUUUUUUAAUUGUAUAUUUGUUGGUGCCGUAGCUAAUUUUUCAUUUCCUCUGCUUACACGGUUGGGACCAGGGUGUGCCGGGCCUGCUUCUGUUACAAAAUACCAAAGAUGGAUGCAGUUUAUCAGUUGUUGGUGACCGACUAAUGAAAAGCAUGGGUCUCUCUGGCAGGACCCUCUUGCUGAAUUCCAAUGCCCUCCUUUGUUUAUGGCAGCGCUGAACUACUUAGACGCCAAAACAGAAAGGAGAAGAAGUGGAAAAGAAAACCCGAAACAAUGAAAAGAUCCAGCGGCCUUAAAAAGGAGAAUUCUGCUUUGUUUUGAAACUGGCACAACUGUCGGCGACCUCCCGUCUCAGAAACCCUCUUGUUAGAAACCUGUUCUUGCACUGUCAUUGUUGAUAUCUACAGAGUGUGGCUAAUUUAAAAAUAAAUGAAGAAACGCC